rnacentral:rRNA from 1 species
GACAGAGGGUGCGAACGUUGUUCGGAAUUACUGGGCGUAAAGCGCGUGUAGGCUGUUCGGAAAGUCGGGUGUGAAAGCCCUGGGCUCAACCUAGGAAGUGCACUCGAAACUCCCGAACUCGAGUCCCGGAGAGGAAGGCGGAAUUCUCGGUGUAGAGGUGAAAUUCGUAGAUAUUGGGAAGAACACCAGUGGCGAAGGCGGCUAACUGGUCCAGUACUGACGCUGAGGUGCGAAAGCGUGGGGAGCAAACAGG